rnacentral:rRNA from 1 species
AUGCUUAAUAUAUAUGAUCCGUUAACGGCGGUAGUCAAGCACCUGGGUGGAGCGCAAUGGUGGGUAACCGGAGUUUACGGACCGCAACAGGAUCACGAGAAGAUUGCUUUUAUGCAAGAAUUGGUCGACAUUCGAGAGCUCAUUGCCAGCCCCUGGGCGGUACUGGGUGAUUUCAAUCUAUUGGUAAAUCCGGAGGACAAAAGCAACUCUCUCAUCAAUAGGAGGAUGAUGGCGCGUUUUCGGGCAAAGCUCAAUUUUCUCGAGGUGAAGGAAAUCUACCUAAAUGGCAGGAGAUAUACUUGGUCAAAUGAAAGAGAAUGUGCAACUUUGGAGCGAAUCGAUCGUGUGUUUGCCACUGUGGAUUGGGUGGAGUGCUACCCGACUUGUCAGCUUACCGCACUAGGAUCGGCCGUGUCGGAUCACUGCCCACUUCUUUUG